CCGCCUGGGGAGUACGGCCGCAAGGUUAAAACUCAAAUGAAUUGACGGGGGCCCGCACAAGCGGUGGAGCAUGUGGUUUAAUUCGAUGCAACGCGAAGAACCUUACCUGGUCUUGACAUCCACGGAAGAAUUCAGAGAUGGAUUUGUGCCUUCGGGAACCGUGAGACAGGUGCUGCAUGGCUGUCGUCAGCUCGUGUUGUGAAAUGUUGGGUUAAGUCCCGCAACGAGCGCAACCCUUAUCCUUUGUUGCCAGCGGUCCGGCCGGGAACUCAAAGGAGACUGCCAGUGAUAAACUGGAGGAAGGUGGGGAUGACGUCAAGUCAUCAUGGCCCUUACGACCAGGGCUACACACGUGCUACAAUGGCGCAUACAAAGAGAAGCGACCUCGCGAGAGCAAGCGGACCUCAUAAAGUGCGUCGUAGUCCGGAUUGGAGUCUGCAACUCGACUCCAUGAAGUCGGAAUCGCUAGUAAUCGUGGAUCAGAAUGCCACGGUGAAUACGUUCCCGGGCCUUGUACACACCGCCCGUCACACCAUGGGAGUGGGUUGCAAAAGAAGUAGGUAGCUUAACCUUCGGGAGGGCGCUUACCACUUUGUGAUUCAUGACUGGGGUGAAGUCGUAACAAGGUAACCGUAGGGGAACCUGCGGUUGGAUCACCUCCUUACCUGAAAGAAGC
rnacentral:rRNA from 1 species